rnacentral:rRNA from 1 species
CGGACGGGUGAGUAACACGUGGAUAACCUACCUAUAAGACUGGGAUAACUUCGGGAAACCGGAGCUAAUACCGGAUAAUAUAUUGAACCGCAUGGUUCAAUAGUGAAAGACGGUUUUGCUGUCACUUAUAGAUGGAUCCGCGCCGCAUUAGCUAGUUGGUAAGGUAACGGCUUACCAAGGCAACGAUGCGUAGCCGACCUGAGAGGGUGAUCGGCCACACUGGAACUGAGACACGGUUCAG